rnacentral:lncRNA from 1 species
AGAUGCACGUGAGCCGCCGCUCCGCGGAGCGUGGGAGAGGGCUCUCCCUGGAAACUCCACAGAGUUGGAGUCGGAAGAGAUCAACGAGGUUUAAACUCGGAGGCAUUGCACGAUACAAAGGGGAUUUGGAGCGCUAGGGGAGGUGACCCUAAAGAACGGGACUAUCUGGGUGCAAAGUGACGGCAGAUCAACUCACCUGCCUGGUGAAGAGGAUGGCAGUGUCCCAGUACUCGGGGUGCUUGUCACUCACUUUGUUCAGCUUCUUCUGCCAGGCACAGAAGUUGCGCAGCGUCAGGGCCGCAUUGCCGGUGACCUUGGGCCCGGAGUCACGAUCUCUAAGAAGCAGCACCUUGACCACAACGAUGUUGAUGGGGUUGAGGAUGCUGGGAUGGCGGUAGAGUCGCGCCGCCGUUGCCAGCAGCGUCAGCAGAUAAUGUUCCAGGUCCGCGCCGUGGAACUUGACCAUUGACUCGUCCGCGACCACCAGCGUCUCCACGUACCGCGGGAUAGACACGAAACGCUUGGCGCGCCCAGACCUGCGCCGGCUACGACUCUCCCCGAAGCCCGCCCGCCGCGGCUUGUAAGGGUCCAGGGCCCGUAGGAUGGCGG